rnacentral:rRNA from 1 species
GUAAUACCUGCCCAGUGCGAAAUAUUAAUGUAAACGGCCGCCCUAGCGUGAGGGUGCUAAGGUAGCGAAAUUCCUUGCCUUUUGAUUGUAGGCCUGCAUGAAUGGUUUAACGAGGGUUUAGCUGUCUCUAAAUUUUUAAUUGAAAUUGUAUUGAAGGUGAAGAUACCUUCAUUUAAAAGUUAGACAAAAAGACCCCGUGCAACUUUGAAAAUUAACUUUAUUCAGGGGUAAAAGAUUUUUAGGUGGGGCGCCUAGAAAGUAAGCCUAACCUUUCUGAGUAGGAGUUUCUUUCAGGAGUUGACCCGAUUAUAUUCGAUCAUAGGAGAAGUUACGCCGGGGAUAACAGGCUAAUCCUUUAGUAGAGCUCGUAUUGGCUAAAGGGAUUGGCACCUCGAUGUUGAAUCAGGGAUGAUAGCUUCAGGGCGUAGAGGCUU